rnacentral:rRNA from 1 species
GGUGGAGCAUGUGGUUUAAUUCGAAGCAACGCGAAGAACCUUACCAGGCCUUGACAUGCAGAGAACUUUCAGAGAUGGAUUGGUGCCUUCGGGAACUCUGACACAGGUGCUGCAUGGCUGUCGUCAGCUCGUGUCGUGAGAUGUUGGGUUAAGUCCCGUAACGAGCGCAACCCUUGUCCUUAGUUACCAGCACGUUAUGGUGGGCACUCUAAGGAGACUGCCGGUGACAAACCGGAGGAAGGUGGGGAUGACGUCAAGUCACCAUGGCCCUUACGGCCUGGGCUACACACGUGCUACAAUGGUCGGUACAAAGGGUUGCCAAGCCGCGAGGUGGAGCUAAUCCCAUAAAACCGAUCGUAGUCCGGACCGCAGUCUGCAACUCGACUGCGUGAAGUCGGAAUCGCUAGUAAUCGUGAAUCAGAAUGUCACGGUGAAUACGUUCCCGGGCCUU